rnacentral:lncRNA from 1 species
GGCCCGAGCUCCAGUUGAUGAAGUCACAUGGUUCCAGGGGCAGCAGCUGUUUCCCUGAAUACGAGGAUGGUGCUUUGAGACCAACCAGAAGUGAACUGUUUGUACAGAUUGAUGCUGCUGAAAUGCAAAGUGGAAACAUGUCAGGGGAAACAUGCACCCUGUCACCCCAGGAGAGAUGGCUCGGUGGUGAAUCAGACCCACAGGACAGUGGGGAACGCCAGAAGCUGGCCAGAGUUGCAGGAUUUUCACACACGACGAACGGGAAGAUGUUUAAGACCUGAGGGCGGAGGAAGAGGUGGGAGAGAACAGCACAUGCCUGUAUACCCUGCUGUGGAAAGAACCAGAAAAGCUGAAAGAAAACCUGUGAGGCCAGAAGCUGGGAUGUGGGAAGGCUUGAGAAGGGUGCAGGAGUCUCCAGGAACCAAACUGGUGUCAUGUGGAGGAGGCCAUGUGGCAGAGAUCCGUGGUGGCCUCUGGUUGCUGAGGGCCUCCGUCCCACAACUGCAAGGAACUAGGUUCUGCCAACACCCAGCAAGCCUGGGAGAGGAUGCCAGACUCCAGGGAGAUCACAGACCUGGCAACACCUUGAUCGUGGCUGUUGAAUCUCUGAGCAGAGGACAGAGCUGAGCCAUGCCUCUGUCCCACAGAAACGGUUUCUUACCCAAGAGGCCGGAUGCAGUUCCCUGUGCUGCCCGACAGGGCUCCAUCCAUCACACAUCUGUUCUAAAUGUUAACAGUCUCCACCUACCAACCCCAAGCUCUCCAGCGAUUUUAGCACGCUGCUCCCUGUACACAGCAGGUGCUCAAAUAACUCUUUGUGGAAUGAAGCUGUCUUUCCUCUUGUCUUCAUGUCUCUGCCCCUAAACAGCUUGUCUGGUUCUCUAUGACCUCAGAGAGAACCCCUGAAGCCUUUUCAAAAGCCGACUGUGGCCAGCAGUGAAGAGAGACUGGAUGACAUCCGAUGAGUCGUGGGGACAGGGCAUGUGGAGCAGCAGGGCUAGAGGGUGGGUGGAGUUGAAUAUGCCCAGAUGUUGUUGUAGCAUCUGCUCCUGGUCAGCAUGGGGCAAGAACUGGGGUGGGGGGCUCAGCCUGAGAGUGUGACUCAAGUAGGCACUUACCUGAGUAAUGCAGCAAAUGGACAAGACAUCAUCUAAGGCUUCUUUUUCUUUUUGCCUUUUUUUUUAGGGCUGCAUAUGCAGCAUCUGGAGAUUCCCAGGCUAGGGGUUGAAUUGGAGCUGCAGCUGCUGGCCUAUGCCACAGCCACAGCAAUGCCAGAUCCAAGCCAUGUCUGCGACCUACACCACAGCUCACAGCAGCGCCAGAUCCUUAACCCAGUGAGCGAGGCCGGGGAUCGAACUUGCAUCCUCAUGGAUCCUAAUCAGGUUCAUUAACUGCUGAGCUAUGAAGGGAACUCCUAAGGCUUCUUUCUUCUUUUUUUUUCUUUUCUUUCCAGCAAGGGGGAAAGAUGUUUCUUUCAAACUCAACUGAUAGGGUUUCAGCCACACGCAGAACCGGGUUUUCAGUUGCUUCUCACACUUCAUAUAGCAGCUGGUUGGGAAAUAAAACAUCUUCCAUUUAGAUAAAUAAGCAAAAAAAAGUCAGAAAAUUAAUAACCAGAAAGACACAUGUUAUUACCCUAUUUCUGAAACAAAACAAAGCCGUGUCAGAGGCAGGCCUCUGUGGCUGAGAUUGUGGGGAGGGAGGGGCUGGGGGCAUGGCAGAGGAAGCCCUGGGUGAUGGCUGGGGCGGGCCAGUGACCCCCAUCUCAUCUGCUUCUCAUCCGGAGCUCUGCUCACUGCCAGCCAGGCUGGGCUGGGCCUCCUGUCUCAGAGCCAGCUCUCCCGGAUCACUGUGACCUAAUCUCCCCCCAGGACUGUUUUCCCCUAAACGUGGCCCCUGUGAGGUCUCCCUUGCACAGAAGACUCUUGGGACUCUCCCCUGCCUGCACAUCCAAACACCUCUGCCCACAGCCUAUUUCUGGCACCAUUUCCCAGGCCCAGUUCCUGCCCAGGGCGAGUCACUGACAUUCAGGAGUGCUAUGUAGGUACCCGGGUCUGUGAAUGGUAGUUUACAUGUAUUGGCUCAUUUAAACCCAGGUGGAUGCUGGAUUUAUUAUACCCAUUUCACAGAUGAGAACAAUGAGGCACAGGGAGUGCUCAGCACCUACAGGUAAAGGCAGAGCUGAACUCCAGAACCCAAGCUUUGGGCUCUGGCUAGAGGUGGCCAGCUACUGGGUCAGGGGCAGAGGCCCCAAACAAAAUUGAAUAAAAAAUUACUAAAAAAUGUAAAAUGAGGGAAUCUCAAAAUACAAUGAAAAAACACUGAGUUAUAUUUGAGAGGAUUUCCUUUAAAAAUAUCAACACCUGAGUUCCUGUUGUGGCUCAGUGGGUUAAGAACCUGACAUAGUAUCCAUGAGGAUGCUGGUUCAAUCCCUGGCCUUGAUUAGUGGGUUAAGGAUCUGGCUUGCCACAAGCUGUUGCAGAUGCAGCUCAGACCUAGUGUUAUAGCUUUUGGCGCAGGCCAGCAGCUGCAUUUCCUAUUCAUCCCUUAGCUCGGGAACUUUCAUAUGCCACANAAAAAAAAAAAAAAAAAAAAAAAAAAAAAAAAUCAACACUUUGAAUAAACAAAAUCCCUUUGUGUAGUGAUGGUGCCAUAAAGAGAUUUAUAGGAGUUUUGUUUUUUUUUUUUUGCUUUUUAGAGCCACACCUGGGGUAUAUGGAAAUUCCCAGACUAGGGGUCCAAUCAGAGCUAUAGCUGCUGGCCCACAUCACAGCCACAUCAGAGCCAUUGCAACUCCGUACCUGAGCCGUGUCUGCGACCUUCACCACAGCUCACGGCAAUGCCAGAUCCUUAACUCACUGAGUGAGGCCAGGGAUCGAACCUGCAACCUCACCAUUCCUAGUCUGAUUUGUUUCCACUGCGCUGCUAUGAGAACUCCUGAAUUGCCUAAUUUUUUUUAAUGUUACUGGUUAUAAAUGCUGGUUACUACAAGUCAGCACUUCCACCCCUAAGAGGUAUGAUUGCCAUCAAGUGUAUGGAAAUGCUGCCUUCUGAGCUUGUGCCUUGUGGUCAGGGAAGGCUCUGGCACAACACCUAACUCAGCAUUAAAGAUACGGAGUUCCCAUCAUGGCUCAGUGGUUAACGACUCUGACUAGGAACCAUGAGGUUGCGGGUUCGAUUCCUGGCCUUGCUCAGUGGGUCAACUAUCCGGCAUUGCCGUGAGCUGUGGUGUAGGUUGCAGACCCGGCUCUGAUCCUGCGUUGCUGUGGCUCUGGCGUAGGACAGUGGCUAUAGCUCCGAUUCUUUGACCCCUAGCCUGGUGAACCUCCAUAUGCCGUGGGAGCGGCCCAAGAAAUGGCAAAAAGACAUAAAGAAAAAAAAGACAAACAAGUACAAGGCAGGCAUUCCCGUCGUAGCUCAACAGUAACGAACCUGACUAGACUCCAUGAGGACGUGGGUUCGAUCCCUGGCCUUGUUCAGUGGAUUGAGGAUGUGGUGUUGCUGUGGCUGUGGUGUAGGCCAGCAGCUGCAGCUCUCAUUCAACCCCCAGCAUGGGAACUUCCAUCUGCUGCAGGUGCAGCCCUAAAACACAAAACAAAGCAAACAACAACCAACACCACAAACUAAGUACAAGGCAAAGCAAAUACGUCUGCAAGGCCUACGCAACAGUGUGACCCUGGACUGCACGUGGUUCAAGGAUGAAGGUCUCCAGUGGCGGCCUAGGACCAUGGACUUGGAAAGAAGCACACUUUUAGUUUUUGCGUUGUUCCCUCUCACCUUCGCAGCUGCUGGCUUCUUAAUCACACUGUUUGCUCUGUAACCAUUUUCUUGUGGAGUCCCUGGCUUUAUCUGACCCCCGUGACCUUGAUUGAGAAAACCUGAUGCUGAGAUGCUUUUCCUCAGAUGUGGGUUGAGCAGGUGAGGGUCUGCUGGGUUUUAUAAUGAACUUCAAUCCCUCAGGGCUGGAGUCUAUUUGGAAAACAAUCCUGUCUGUGACUGGCCGGAGAGGGGCUUACUUUUAGAAAAUACCAGUGAACGUGUGUCUGAGCAGCCAGUCUGCUAGGCUGAAUCCGCCCUCGCUGGCUAGAGUUGGGGUGCAAAUUCUGCCUACACCAAGCACUGCCAGCCCCUGUCACCAAGGCAGAGCAACUGUGCUUGGCCCAUAGUCACUUCAGCCACGGCCACCCUCUUCUCUGAAUGAAGCACAACGGAGAGCCAGUCACUGGCCUGAGAUCAGGUGGCUGUUUAGCCUCAGACCCAAGAUUUGCCCCCAGCCGACUUGGUUAGGACUCAGGUUCAUCACCUCUGAGCUGCGCCCAAGAUCUCAGCCCCUGUAACGGGAGGAUGGCAAGUCUGCUUAGGGGAACGCAUGGGUGACAUCUGGAAGGACGUGGUGACGGGGUGAACAUCUGGGAAAAGGUGACAGGCAUGUCGGUGACGUCCCAGGAUGUACUCAGGUUCAACUGCAUGAGACCCAUCGCACAGAGGG